ensembl:snRNA U6 U6 spliceosomal RNA
GUGCUUGCUUCAGCAGCACAUAUAGUAAAAUUGGAACGAUACAGAAAAGAUUAGCAUGGCCCAUGCACAAGGAUGACACGCAAAUUCGUAAAGUGUUCCAUAUUAAA